rnacentral:tRNA from 1 species
AAGAGGUUAGUUUAAAAUAAAACAUUAAUUUGUCAAAUUAAAAAUAUACAAUUGUAUACCCCUUA